GAUAAACGCUAGCGGCAGGCUUAACACAUGCAAGUCGAGGGGCAGCAUAGAUUGUAGCAAUACAAUUGGUGGCGACCGGCGCACGGGUGCGUAACGCGUAUGCAACCUACCCGUCACAGGGGGAUAAUCCGGAGAAAUCUGGUCUAAUACCCCAUAACAUAUGGAUCGGCAUCGGUUCAUGUUGAAAUUUUCGGAGGUGACGGAUGGGCAUGCGUAGCAUUAGCUCGUUGGUGAGGUAACGGCUCACCAAGGCGACGAUGCUUAGGGGGACUGAGAGGUUUUCCCCCCACACUGGUACUGAGACACGGACCAGACUCCUACGGGAAGCAGCAGUGAGGAAUAUUGGUCAAUGGGCGCAAGCCUGAACCAGCCAUGCCGCGUGCAGGAUGACGGCUCUAUGAGUUGUAAACUGCUUUUGUACGAGGGUAAAGUGGGUUACGUGUAACCUUUUGAAAGUAUCGUACGAAUAAGGAUCGGCUAACUCCGUGCCAGCAGCCGCCGUAA
rnacentral:rRNA from 1 species